rnacentral:rRNA from 1 species
GACGAACGCUGGCGGCGUGCUUAACACAUGCAAGUCGAACGGAAAGGCCCUGCGGGUUACUCGAGUGGCGAACGGGGGAGUAACACGGGGGUGAUCAUCGCUGCACUUUGGGAUAAGCCUGGGAAACUGGGGCUAAUACCGAAUAGGACCACGCGCUUCAGGGGGGGUGGUGGGAGGCUUUUGCGGUGUUGGGUGGGCCCGCGGGCUAUCAGCUUGUUGGUGGGGUAAUGGCAUACCAAGGCGACGACGGGUAGCCCGCCUGAGAGGGUGACCGGCCCCAAUGGGACUGAGAUACGGCCCAGACUCCUACGGGAGGCAGCAGUGGGGAAUAUUGCACAAUGGGGGCAAGCCUGAUGCAGCGACGCCGCGUGAGGGAUGACGGCCUUCGGGUUGUAAAACUCUUUCAAUAGGGACGAAGCGCAAGUGACGGUACCUAUAGAAGAAGCACCGGCCAACUACGUG